rnacentral:rRNA from 1 species
UACGAAGGGGGCUAGCGUUGCUCGGAAUCACUGGGCGUAAAGCGCACGUAGGCGGACUCUUAAGUCAGGGGUGAAAUUCUGGAGCUCAACUCCAGAACUGCCUUUGAUACUGGGAGUCUUGAGUUCGGGAGAGGUGAGUGGAACUGCGAGUGUAGAGGUGAAAUUCGUAGAUAUUCGCAAGAACACCAGUGGCGAAGGCGGCUCACUGGCCCGAUACUGACGCUGAGGUGCGAAAGCGUGGGGAGCAAACAGG